GCGCCUGUAGCUCAGGGGAUAGAGCAUCGGUUUCCUAAACCGGGUGUCGGAGGUUCGAAUCCUUCCAGGCGCA
rnacentral:tRNA from 3 species